rnacentral:rRNA from 1 species
GUGUUGGGAAAGCCUUUGCGGCAUGGGAUGGGGUCGCGUCCUAUCAGCUUGAUGGCGGGGUAACGGCCCACCAUGGCUUCGACGGGUAGCCGGCCUGAGAGGGCGACCGGCCACAUUGGGACUGAGAUACGGCCCAGACUCCUACGGGAGGCAGCAGUGGGGAAUAUUGCACAAUGGGCGCAAGCCUGAUGCAGCGACGCCGCGUGAGGGAUGGAGGCCUUCGGGUUGUAAACCUCUUUUGUUAGGGAGCAAGGCAUUUUUUGUUGAGUGUACCUUUCGAAUAAGCACCGGCUAACUACGUGCCAGCAGCCGCGGUAAUACGUAGGGUGCAAGCGUUAUCCGGAAUUAUUGGGCGUAAAGGGCUCGUAGGCGGUUCGUCGCGUCCGGUGUGAAAGUCCAUCGCUUAACGGUGGAUCCGCGCCGGGUACGGGCGGGCUUGAGUGCGGUAGGGGAGACUGGAAUUCCCGGUGUAACGGUGGA